rnacentral:rRNA from 1 species
GUAACACGUAUGCAACCUGCCCCAAACAGGGGGAUAGCCUCUCGAAAGAGAGAUUAAUACCCCAUAAUAAUGUUGUUAGGCAUCUAAUGAUAUUUAAAGCCGAGGCGGUUUGGGAUGGGCAUGCGGUUGAUUAGGUAGUUGGUGAGGUAAUGGCUCACCAAGCCAACGAUCAAUAGGGGGUCUGAGAGGAUGUCCCCCCACACUGGUACUGAGACACGGACCAGACUCCUACGGGAGGCAGCAGUAGGGAAUAUUGGACAAUGGGGGCAACCCUGAUCCAGCCAUGCCGCGUGCAGGAAGACUGCCCUAUGGGUUGUAAACUGCUUUUGUACGGGAAGAAACCUCACUACGAGUAGUGAGUUGACGGUACCGUGAGAAUAAGGAUCGGCUAACUUCGUGCCAGCAGCCGCGGUAAUACGAAGGAUCCAAGCGUUGUCCGGAUUUACUGGGUUUAAAGGGUGCGUAGGCGGGCUAUUAAGUCAGUGGUGAAAGCCGAUCGCUUAACGAUCGAACUGCCAUUGAAACUGAUAGUCUUGAGUAUGUUUGAGGUUACUGGAAUAUAACAUGUAGCGGUGAAAUGCUUAGAUAUGUUAUAGAACACCAAUUGCGAAGGCAGGUAACUAAGUCAUAACUGACGCUGAGGCA